CUACUAAGCUGGCGACCGGCGCACGGGUGAGUAACACGUAUCCAACCUGCCUCAUACUCGGGGAUAGCCUUUCGAAAGAAAGAUUAAUAUCCGAUAGCAUAUAUUUCCCGCAUGGGUUUUAUAUUAAAGAAAUUCGGUAUGAGAUGGGGAUGCGUUCCAUUAGUUUGUUGGGGGGUAACGGCCCACCAAGACUACGAUGGAUAGGGGUUCUGAGAGGAAGGUCCCCCACAUUGGAACUGAGACACGGUCCAA
rnacentral:rRNA from 1 species